UAGUCUUUUAAUUGGAGGCUUGAAUGAAAGGUUUGACGGAAAGAAGACUGUCUCUUUAGUUUAAUAUUGAAUUUAACUUUUGUGUGAAAAGGCAUUAAUGUUUUAGUGGGACGAUAAGACCCUAUAAAACUUAACAUAUAUUAUAUUGUUUCUUAGAUUUGUUAAGUAAAUAUAAAAUGAUUAAGUGUGUUUUGCUGGGGCGGCAUGAAUAUAAUUUGUAACUGUUUGUAAGAUGAAAUAUAAAUAUAUAGAUAUAUGGUCCUUUAUUAAGGAGUUAAGACUAAG
rnacentral:rRNA from 1 species